rnacentral:rRNA from 1 species
AUAUUAAAGUUGUUGCAGUUAAAAAGCUCGUAGUUGAACUUUGGGCCCGGUUGGCCGGUCCGAUUUUUUCGUGUACUGGAUUUCCAACGGGGCCUUUCCUUCUGGCUAACCUUGAGUCCUUGUGGCUCUUGGCGAACCAGGACUUUUACUUUGAAAAAAUUAGAGUGUUCAAAGCAGGCCUUUGCUCGAAUACAUUAGCAUGGAAUAAUAGAAUAGGACGUGUGGUUCUAUUUUGUUGGUUUCUAGGACCGCCGUAAUGAUUAAUAGGGAUAGUCGGGGGCAUCCGUAUUCAAUUGUCA